UGGGGCCUGGGGGUGGGGUGUGUGUGGAACUGCUCAGAGGCGGCCUCCUUCACAUUCCACAGAACUUCAAGUUGAGGCCUGGAGGAGUGGCAGGUUUGGGGUAGGGUGUGGAUUGGAGGUGGGGGUGGGGCUUCAGAGAGGGGUCAAGAGGAAGAGGAGGGGGGAACAUUUGGUAAACUGGGCAGAGGACGGGCAGAGUGUGACACACAGUCAUGGGAGGCCUGCAGGAGAUAGCGGGAACAAAGUCCAGGUGAAGAAGAGCUUGAGCAGAGAGAGAGGCCAAAGAAUGAGGUGACUUCAGCAAACGUUUGGUGUUUGCAGGGUGUGGGCUGGAAACAGUGCUUGGGCGAGUCUUGGCCCUCCUUACUGGAAAGUGGGAUCUUUCUGGAGGAUAGGCUGAUGAGCCCAAGUUUCCAAUAAGGUGAAUGUGCUUCUGAAGACCCAUGAGAUGUAGAGUCUGACUUCUCUGAUUUGGUGGCCGUUGCAGAUUGAAGCAGACUGCUGAUAGGCGUGGUACCUGCGAACCCUUUUUUGAGUUCACUGUCUUUCUCACCAUUUCUGAAGGCCAUGGGAAUUCGUGGAAGGGAAUCUGACAAGCUCUCUCAAAUACAGAUUUCUGAAAAUGUUCCAAUCAUACAACUGAACUGCACUGGCCUGGAAAGAUGAUAUCAUCAGUGUCUCUCCAGCCAUUGCUGAGGGAGGUAACCUUGGCCUUUCAGACUGCUGGAUUUGACAUCCAAAACUCCUAUCUGUCCAUUCACCCCGUCACUUUGGUGAAAGUGGUUUGGGCCCUGUCGGGUUUGUCCUUUGUCUUUGCUUUAAAUGGUGUUCCCAGCUGCUGACCACCCAGCAUGUGAUCUCCUGAAGACUGGACUGUCAGAAAAACAAUGAAGAGGACAAUGAGCUUUAUGAACUUUGGGACACCUGUUGACUCGGUGGAGAGUGACGUCUAACCAGCCAACCUGGAAGUCCCCUGGAAGUCCCGGGGGAGCACUAGGAAAUUUACAGAUAGGCGCCUCCUGUGCCCCUUAGAAGGGAGACCUUACCUAAAACAAUACCCUCUUUGCUGGUAUAAUCCCCUCCUCUUCCCCUCCUCUCUACCUUAACAAACCUUUCUUUUCUACAGCUGCACAGAGCUUUUUUCUGUUUGCUAGGUGGGAUGCUGUUGGAUUCAUGAACUGUUCAUAAAGCCAAUUUGAUUUUUAAAAUUA